GAUGAACGCUGGCGGCGUGCCUAAUACAUGCAAGUAGAACGCUGAAGGAGGAGCUUGCUCUUCUGGAUGAGUUGCGAACGGGUGAGUAACGCGUAGGUAACCUGCCUGGUAGCGGGGGAUAACUAUUGGAAACGAUAGCUAAUACCGGAUGACAACAGUUAUUGCAUGAUAACUGUUUAAAAGGGGCAACUGCUCCACUACCAGAUGGACCUGCGUUGUAUUAGCUAGUUGGUGAGGUAACGGCUCACCAAGGCGACGAUACAUAGCCGACCUGAGAGGGUGAUCGGCCACACUGGGACUGAGACACGGCCCAGACUCCUACGGGAGGCAGCAGUAGGGAAUCUUCGGCAAUGGACGGAAGUCUGACCGAGCAACGCCGCGUGAGUGAAGAAGGUUUUCGGAUCGUAAAGCUCUGUUGUAAGAGAAGAACGAGUGUGAGAGUGGAAAGUUCACACUGUGACGGUAUCUUACCAGAAAGGGACGGCUAACUACGUG
rnacentral:rRNA from 1 species